CUCUCGACUAAACAGCAUUAUUGUAAAUUAUAAACUGUAAACUUUUUUAUUUUAUUUUAUUUUAUAUUCGAAGUUUAAUACUAUCUCAUCCAUAUAGCCUAGUUAGUUUUUUUCAUGAAUGAACCGGAUAGCAUAUUAUUUUUCUAAAAAUAUAUAUAUAUAUAUACAUAUAUUAAUAUUGGAUAUAACCCACGUGAUUUAUUGAAGGCGAUUUAUAAGAAUACAGUCGGUCCAUUCAAAUCGAUCUAUAAAUAUACAACAGAUCUAACGGUUAGCAUAUAUUUAGAUACAUCCUUAAUAGACGGACGUGAUUUAAUAUCUUUCCGUCAAGUUAUAUAUAAAAAUAUAAUAUAUCGGCGUUCCGAUCUAACUCUAAUUUGUAACGAUUCUGUCCCCAAGAUAAAAAAAUUAGACUCAAAAAUAUUUUGAUCCUUU
rnacentral:lncRNA from 1 species